rnacentral:snRNA from 1 species
AGCUUUGCACAGUGGUAGUAUCACAGCCAAUUAGGUUUCUCCAAGGCAAGAUUAUUUGUAACUGAAAA